AAAAAACUCGAGAUCAAGGGCUGG
rnacentral:siRNA from 1 species